UUCAGUUUAUUUUUUUUCUCACUACUCAGAAUUCAUGCCUGUAGAUAAAAGUAGGCAUCCUUCAAGUACUUAGCUACUGCUUUACCACCACAGCCUGGUACCAAAUAUUCCUAAACUAUCAUAAUCUCAUGACUUAAAUCUACUCAGAGGUACCUAAAAUCUAGCCAUUGAUACAACUUCUCUUCUACAGUGUGCAGCGUGAAAGCCACCCAUUUCCAGCAGAGAACCAUAAUCUCAGAUCUGGAAAUGCCAAUUCCCAUCAUAGCCUUUUGUGAUCACUAGAUCAAUACCUGUUAUAUUACAGCCAGAGAUGCUGCUCUAGCUCAGGAAAAAGUACAGGAAAAAGAGUGGAAAAGCUUCAAGGGACCAGUCAUCUGGCUUUAUCAUUCAUCUACUGCCCUAUCUAGGGGAUAGUGAAGACAGCAGGUCUGCAGGACAACCCACUGAACCUCUUCCACAAUGGAGAAGGGAAAGCUGUGUGGAGGACAAAAUGCAGGACAGCUCUGGCACUAUAAUCAGCAAUGAACCAAGAAGGAGACUGACACAUUAAACUUCAGGACCCUGAUUUCUCACUCCAGAGGACUUCUAUCCAUGCAGGAUUGGCAGCUGAAGAGUAUGUUUCUCAGCUGAGGGGGGAGCCCUGUAUUUGUCAGACAGGAUUAUCUGGCAUCCUGUCUGAGGAAGAUAAAGGAGCAAUGGGAGAAGGAUUCUAAUUUUGUAUAUUUUUGUCCCCCAUCUGGUACAUUGCAGCAUUGCAGGACUGCAGUAACCAUGUGUAACCCCGCAGAGCAUGAUGGAAGUUGUAGUGCCAAGAAUCAGCCCUUCUGCGUCCCAAGGAUGCCACCAGGGGGUACUACAGAGAUUCAGAAUCCCAAGAAGCAUUUGUGCAGAACAGUAAUUGUACAAUGCAUCAAGAAACCUUUGUGAGGCAUUGGCAAAAUUAAACAUUUUGUUUUGAAUAGUGACUGUCUUUGUGUU